rnacentral:rRNA from 1 species
GAUGAACGCUGGCGGCGUGCCUAAUACAUGCAAGUCGAGCGAACGGACGAGAAGCUUGCUUCUCUGAUGUUAGCGGCGGACGGGUGAGUAACACGUGGAUAACCUACCUAUAAGACUGGGAUAACUACGGGAAACCGGAGCUAAUACCGGAUGAUAUUUUGAACCGCAUGGUUCAUAAGUGAAAGACGGUCUUGCUGUCACUUAUAGAUGGAUCCCCGCUGCAUUAGUUAGUUGGUAAGGUAACGGUUUACCAAGGGAAGGAUGCAUAGCCGACCUGGGAGGGUGAUCGGCCACCCUGGAACUGGACCACGCUCAAGACUCCUACGGGAGGCAGCAGUAGGGAAUCUUCCGCAAUGGGGGAAAGCCUGACGGAGCAAGCCGGCGUGAGUGAUGAAGGUCUUCGGAUCGUAAAACUCUGUUAUUAGGGAAGAACAUAUGUGUAAGUAACUGUGCACAUCUUGACGGUACCUAAUCAGAAAGCCACGGCUAACUACGUG